AUUUCACACUUUGAACAGAACCCUUACCAAAGGAUGUUGUGCCUAAAAUAAUUGCUCUUUUAUUGUCUUGUAAAGCUCCUGCAACAAUUUCUGAGGCACUGGCACUUCCACUGUUAAUAAGAACAACAAU
rnacentral:ncRNA from 1 species